rnacentral:tRNA from 1 species
AAAGAGUUAGUUUAAUUAAAACAUUAGAUUGUCAGCCUAAAAAUAUUAUUUUUAAUACUCUUUA